AUUGAACGCUGGCGGCAGGCCUAACACAUGCAAGUCGAGCGGAUGAAGGGAGCUUGCUCCUGGAUUCAGCGGCGGACGGGUGAGUAAUGCCUAGGAAUCUGCCCGGUAGUGGGGGAUAACGUCCGGAAACGGGCGCUAGUACCGCAUACGGCCUGAGGGAUAAAGUGGGGGAUCUUCGGACCUCACGCUAUCAGAUGAGCCUAGGUCGGAUUAGCUAGUUGGUGGGGUAAAGGCCUACCAAGGCGACGAUCCGUAACUGGUCUGAGAGGAUGAUCAGUCACACUGGAACUGAGACACGGUCCAGACUCCUACGGGAGGCAGCAGUGGGGAAUAUUGGACAAUGGGCGAAAGCCUGAUCCAGCCAUGCCGCGUGUGUGAAGAAGGUCUUCGGAUUGUAAAGCACUUUAAGUUGGGAGGAAGGGCAGUAAGUUAAUACCUUGCUGUUUUGACGUUACCAACAGAAUAAGCACCGGCUAACUUCGUG
rnacentral:rRNA from 1 species